rnacentral:rRNA from 1 species
UUAUAAGAGGUCCAGCCUGCCCAGUGAAAAUUUAACGGCCGCGGUACCCUGACCGUGCGAAGGUAGCAUAAUCACUUGUUCUUUAAAUAGGGACUAGUAUCAACGGCAUCACGAGGGUUACACUGUCUCCUUUCUCCAAUCAGUGAAACUGAUCUCCCCGUGAAGAAGCGGGGAUAUAAUCAUAAGACGAGAAGACCCCAUGGAGCUUUAAAUUUUACAGCAACUCAGUCAAACAAACCUUUAUAAUCCACAGAGCCAUGCAUGCCAAUUUUAGGUUGGGGUGACCGCGGAGCAAAAAUAAACCUCCACGACGAAAAGAACUAAAUCUUUAUCCAAGAGCUACAACUCUAAGAAUUAGAAUACUAACGACAAUGACCCGAUAAUCGAUCAACGGACCAAGUUACCCUGGGGAUAACAGCGCAAUCUACUUCGAGAGCUCAUAUCGACAAGUAGGCUUACGACCUCGAUGUUGGAUCAGGGUAUCCCAGUGGUGCAGCCGCUACUAAUGGUUCGUUUGUUCAACGAUUAAGACCCUAC